rnacentral:lncRNA from 1 species
GGGUGCCCUUGUUUGUGUGUUUGUUCGUAGGGUGACAGUUGUCCCGCUUUGCCCAGGAUUGAGAUGGUCUCUGAGGCCUGGCACUUGCAGUGCAGAACGCAGAUGGUUGGUUUCCUUGGUUCACCAGUUGAAGGACAUUCAGGAAUCAAACUCAGGGCCUCGUGCUUGCGAAGGCAGCUGCUGCACCACUGAGCUACAUCCCCAGCAGGAGCUACGAUUUGAAUUAGUGAAAGAGCACCAAUUAAUAAUGUGGAGAAGACCCAGGCCACCUUCCCCAUCCUCUGGGACUCUGGCUUCCUGUGCAUGGGCCACAGCCGCAGUGGCACGCGGCUGGCCAUGGUGGUGUCACUGGACCUCAACGCCACCAGCCAAGUGAUGGCUGUGCAACUCCAGACCA